AGAUAUUCAACAAGAGAGCUCUCUCUGACUGUCCCUGUAUCGGACACACACACCAUGGAAACUCUCCGGCCAUGUCUCCAGCUCUCUGAAAAGGUGAAACCAAUAAGAUUAAAUUGGACAAAGCAUUUUCCCCCCUUUGGUGUAUCAUUAAGAUUUAACUCCGCACAUACGCUAAAAGAAAGUGGGUCCGCAUGAGGGAAGAAGAACAGAGAGGAGAGGAGUGAGAGGGGGAAGCGGAAUGGGAAGCGGGGUAGAUAUAUUGGAGAGGCUUUGAUAGAAACCUGCGCGCGGAGAAAGUGGACGGGCGGGAUGCUGGCGCAGGAGCAGCAGCUUUACGCACACAGAGAAGGCUCACAGUGCUGCAGCUACAGGAGGUGUUCCAAACACACGGUGGAAGAAGGACUGAGAUGCUGGAACUUGAUUCGACUUAUACUGUUUGAUUGUAGGAAGUGGAUGUCACUGUUUAGUAGGAUAGAGAUUUAUGUAUGGGUUAAAUUCAUCCUCAUUUUGGAGUUUAAGAUGUAGAAAAAACUGUCAUUUGCUUUUCUGGGACCCAAACUUCAGCUGUUUCAUAGGAGGAUGUACAAAUAAAAUGAUAUUGAUGACUUAUAAAGAUGCUUCUCAGACCCUGAUAGUUUAUCUAUGACAAUAUUAAAAGAACCUGCAACUAAAGAAUAUUUUGUUCAAGUUUGGUUCAAAUUUUUACUCUUUUGUCUUUUGAUUGUAAACUGAUAAAUGGCAUUGUAUAAAAAACAGGAACAAUUUUUUUCAUUUAUUUAAGAUAUGCACCAAUUAGGCCUUUUCUGAUUGAUUUCAGUUUUCUUUAAGAUCUAUUCUGCCAAUGUCUUUUUAUUUUUAUUUCUAUUCUAAAGCUAUUGCAGAUAACAGUGGGAACAUAUAUUAUAAAUGGAAUUCCAUACAAAGUAACUAUUGAAAAUUAUGGAGUUAUAGGAAUUAACGCAUGUGUAGUUUACACUUUUUGAUUCCAAUAAUUUAAUGAGGGUUCAUCAUUGUUCAAACUGUAGGUUUAUUAUAAAGUAAAGAUGCUGUAAAUUUC